UACGUAGGGGGCUAGCGUUGUCCGGAAUCAUUGGGCGUAAAGCGCGUGUAGGCGGCCCGGUAAGUCCGCUGUGAAAGUCGGGGGCUCAACCCUCGGAUGCCGGUGGAUACUGUCGGGCUCGAGUACGGAAGAGGCGAGUGGAAUUCCUGGUGGUAGCGGUGAAAUGCGCAGAUAGUCAGGAGGAACAGCCGAUUGCGAAGGCAGCUCGCUGGGACGUGACUGACGCUGAGACGCGAAAGCGUGGGGAGCAAACAGG
rnacentral:rRNA from 1 species